rnacentral:rRNA from 1 species
GACGAACGCUGGCGGCGUGCUUAACACAUGCAAGUCGAACGAAGAGCGACGGAAGCUUGCUUCUAUCAAUCUUAGUUGCGAACGGGUGAGUAACGCGUAAUCAACCUGCCCUUCAGAGGGGGACAACAGUUGGAAACGACUGCUAAUACCGCAUACGAUCUAACCUCGGCAUCGAGGAUAGAUGAAAGGUGGCCUCUACAUGUAAGCUAUCACUGAAGGAGGGGAUUGCGUCUGAUUAGCUAGUUGGAGGGGUAACGGCCCACCAAGGCGAUGAUCAGUAGCCGGUCUGAGAGGAUGAACGGCCACAUUGGGACUGAGACACGGCCCAGACUCCUACGGGAGGCAGCAGGGGGGAAUCUUCCGCAAUGGACGAAAGUCUGACGGAGCAACGCCGCGUGAGUGAUGACGGCCUUCGGGUUGUAAAGCUCUGUUAAUCGGGACGAAAGGCCUUCUUGCGAAUAGUGAGAAGGAUUGACGGUACCGGAAUAGAAAGCCACGGCUAACUACGUG